AUUGAACGCUGGCGGCAUGCUUUACACAUGCAAGUCGAACGGUAACGCGGGCUUCGGCCUGGCGACGAGUGGCGAACGGGUGAGUACAACAUCGGAACGUAUCCUGGAGUGGGGGAUAACCUCGAGAAAUCGAGGCUAAUACCGCAUGAUCUCUGAGGAGCAAAGCGGGGGAACCGUAAGGUCCUCGCGCUGUUGGAGCGGCCGAUGCCGGAUUAGCUUGUUGGUGGGGUAAAGGCCUACCAAGGCGACGAUCCGUAGCUGGUCUGAGAGGAUGAUCAGCCACACUGGAACUGAGACACGGUCCAGACUCCUACGGGAGGCAGCAGUGGGGAAUUUUGGACAAUGGGGCAACCCUGAUCCAGCCAUGCCGCGUGCGGGAAGAAGGCCUUCGGGUUGUAAACCGCUUUCAUACGGGACGAAAUGGUGCAGGUUAAUACCCUGUACUGAUGACGGUACCGUAAGAAGAAGCACGGCUAACUACGUGCCAGCAGCCGCGGUAAU
rnacentral:rRNA from 1 species